rnacentral:tRNA from 1 species
AAUGUUAAAUAUAAACUCUUAACCUUCAAAGUUAAUUAUAGAAAAAAAUUUUCUAAGCCUUA